CUACCCCACACUAGGGGUGCCCAGUCCCUCUUCUCCUACCCCACACUAGGGGUGCCCAGUCCCCCUUCUUCUACCCCACACUAGGGGUGCCCAGUCUCCCUUCUUCUACCCCACACUAGGGGUGCCAAGUCACCCCUUCUCCUAUCCCACACUAGGGGUGCCCAGUCCCCCUUCUUCUACCCCACACUAGGGGUGCCCAGUCUCCCUUCUUCUACCCCACACUAGGGGUGCCAAGUCACCCCUUCUCCUAUCCCACACUAGGGGUGCCCAGUCCCCCCUUCUUCUACCCCACACUAGGGAUACCCAGUCCCCCUUCUCCUACCCCACACUAGGGGUGCCCAGUCCCCUUCUUCUACCCCACACUAGGGGUGCCCAGUCCCCGGUCCUCUUGCCUGGCUGGCACUGCUUACUGAGCUGGUGACAUACCUCCCUUGGGCCUAUCUCCUAAGAGUCACAGUAAAGGCUAUUUCCGUGGAGAGAUGGCUAUUCACGUUCAAGGACCUGACCCUUCCUUAGGAGACCAUGGGCCAAAUGGAAUAAGCAGUGACAGGUGAGAUGUGCUGAGCAGGGACACUGGAAGGGCUACACUGCUGGUGGCGUAGUUUCCCCAACCCACCUCUCCCUUGCCCUUCAGGCUAGCACUCAUGCCUGCUGGCUUAUGGUCACCCACAGUGAUCAGCCUUGGGGACCCAGCAUUACUCUCAACCUCAUCAUAUCUAUGAGUGACCCUUUCUGGAAACAGCCGUGGGAACUAAUUCUGGCUGGCUCCUGCCCGCUGAACCCCAAGGCUGCUGUUGAACACUUCCCUCUGCCUUGAGUGCCUGCUACUUUAGAAAGCCUCCAUUCCCUGGAACCCUGGUGAAGGCGUCAUGGGCCCUACGUGUCACGCCUGGAGACACAAGUGAAGCCCCUUAGGUCUGUUUCCAAUGUUUCCUAUGCUGCCAGCAUUUCAGAGAUGGAGAGGACACAGCCUUUACCCUAACUGUUACAGUCUUCGUUGGGAGGCCAAGGAACCCCACCCCAUCACUCUCCUUCCUCAGACUAGGCAGGGAGGGUAAGCUGGUAGAGGAGUGGAUUGGGCUGGCAGGGUGAAGAAUGAAGGCUGAUUGAGGGGCCUGGACAGUCUCUGGGUCUCUUUAGUAUUCUGGAACCUCAAACACCAAAUGAAAUCCACCUUUCUUCUUCUGGUCCCAGUCGUUUGGGUCGGGGGGGUUCUUUAAAGUUCUGUUCAUAUCCUGGGCUUCAAAAAACAAAAGGGUAUUCUCCUGCAGUUCUGUAAACAGGAGUGAAGCCCAGGCAGCCACAGGCCCCGAGGAUCUUUUCUACUUCAUGGCCAACAGCCCUGCUGUCCUUAGCUUACCACAGCGCCUGAGCCUCUGCCUCAGUUGUCACCGUGUCUACCUGCUGGGCUCAGGGAUGCCCUAUUGGUUGGCAGAACAUGAUCUUACAAUGUGAUGCCGAGAAGCUGGCAUUGAACCACAGAGAUCUCCCUCUCUAUGUGGCUGACGCCAUCCAAUUCAGGAGAUCCUGAACAGAGAGACAGUAAGGAUUGGAGGUCUCUAUGAGAACCAGGAGAUCUGUCACCUCUGGCCCUUGGCCAUUAUAACUCUACUCCCAGCAAUUGAGCUUUGGACUCACUGAAUCACACCAGGCUUUUUCCUUCUGGCUUGCAGGCAGCAGAGUGUGGGACUUCUUGGCCUCCACACUCACAUGGACCAAUGCCUGUAAAAUACCCCAUCUCUCAGCUCCCUCUCCAGCCCACUGCUUUUGUUUGCCCGGAAACCAGGGUGAUACACACAGCACUCUUGCUUUAUCUGUCUGCGUCAAGAUGUCCUCUUUAGAAAUAAUUUUGAAAUUUUAUUUUUAAUGAUGUGUAUAUCUUUAUGUGGGCAUGUCGCAAAAGUGUGGGGGCUCUCAGGGGCCAGGGGUGCUGGAUCCCCUGGAGCAGAGUUACACCCCGCCAGAUUCGAGUGUCAGAAUUGAACUCAAAUCCUCUGCAAAGCAGCUCAUAACUUGGUCACCUCAGUGUGAAGACCAUAGCUCCUAUUUCAAAAUCAGGUCACAAGCGUGGUGCUGGGGUUAAGACGUUCACACUUUGGGAAUUUUUGGAGACACAACUUAACUCACAGGAGUCACAAAUCACAUAUUUCCUUCUAGGUACACAGAAAGUGACUUCUUAGGGUUUGUGGGAUAGCUCAUAGACCAGGCUAGGCUUCCGUGAGCAAUGUCUAGGGCCCUGCCAGCGCUGGCCCUGGUAAUAGGUCAGCUGCCCUGUCAUCCCCAGACACUGCCACCAAUGGCAGAGAUAGACUUCCUGGUUCGACCGGAAUGAGGUACAGCAGAAAAGUUGUCUCAUCAGCUCACCGGUGCCCCGGUGCCAGCCCCUCGUCUGCUUGACUGGAUUUGGAAUCCCUUAGGAGACAAACCAUUGGAGAUCCCUGAGAGGGUCUUCCUAAAGGUGGCACCAUCCCAUGGGCAAGAGUCAGACUGCAUAAAAUGCGAAAGUGAGCACUCAGCUGUCUCAGCUUCCUGACUGAGGGAGCAACAUUAGCAGUUGCCUCCUAUUCCUGCAGCUAGUGCAUACUGACACACUUCCCCUCCAUGACGGGUAUCUACAGACCCUCGAGCUGUGAGCCAAACAGAGCCCAUCUUCCUCAAGUUGAUCUCGUCAGACUAUUAAUGUAAUCUUCCGUGAGCGGGAAGAAGAGGAACGUCUCACAGACCGCCUCAUCAAAAGACGGUGGGCAGGGACAUUAAUUAAGCUCCCAACGCUGCGGCUCCACUUGUGCCACAGCAGUGGCAACGUGCUUGAGGCCACAGGAGAGAAGCCAUAGAGCUGUGAAGAUGCUAGUUAGCCCUGUGCUGCUGCUUUUCCUACAGAGACGUGAGCACAUAUCUGUGGCCAUUGUAGAUUAAUCCACUCUCAUCUCCCCUGCAGCGGCGGCACGAGUACCUUGCUACUGCCCCAGUGUUGUGGAUUCUCCAAUGAAAGACACUCGAGGAAGACGCACGCACAUGCACGCACGUCUUACACGCGGCAUUCUCAUGUAAUGUUUUUGGGAACCCACUUAAAAUGAUACAAGCAAUAAACCAAAUCCCCAACACAUAUUUCACUCCAGACAGGACACCAACAGACCUCAGAAACAAUUCCACCUACAUCCAGAUGGAUAAGCCAAUUUAUUUUAGAGAAGUUACUUACGGGAACAUGGGUAAAUUAAAGGCAGCUGAAAAACCAAAACAGCCCACCAACCCAUGGGGGACCACUCGCACACCUCCAUCCCCCGAGCUUCCUGCCCAACCUGCAUGCAACGCCACCAAGAGUCUUCUCCCUCCAGAAAUUACUCAUUGCUUACAGAACCAGGAGGAGGAGAAGGCCUUUUGAGUCUUAUAAUUUUAUGAGUCUCCCUCCGUGUGUGUGUGUGUGUGUGUGUGUGUGUGCAUGUGUGGGUGUAUGUGUGUCUGUGUGUUUCAAUUUGGAGAAAAUAUCUACACAACACUUUGGCACAGCUGGACUGCUGAGGUAUGAUCAGCCACACCGGCCUCAAACCAAUGCACUAUUUCAUAAACGAUGCUACGUGAAGCCAUUAUACAUACACUCAUUCAUAUACGCACAUGCCCCUCCAUGCGCCCCUAGCUGGUCAGUACACCUAUCCACUCUCCCACCUACAUGCUGAACCUCCACCUACCCAGUCAUUCAUAUCCUACAGUUAACCGAGGCAAAGCAAACACGUGACAUGGUUAGAUUUACCAGAGAACAAAGAGGCACAGGGACUCUGGAUAUGGCUGUGGAUAUAGAGAUGAAGGAACUGACUACAGGGAGGUCGGGGAGGUGUUGGCUGUCAGAAGUGGUAUCUGGGGAUGCAACACUUUUCAGGAUCUCUCAGUCCACAGCUAGCUGUCAUGGAGCUUGGAAGGGGCAUAGCUUUCCUCCUAGACCUCGUGUGCUUUUGCCUUUGGGGAUAGGGUCAGGGUUCUUUCCCACAUCAGUCUCCUCGCUGUGGAGAAGCAGCCACACCCAUUGAACUGCCUGCCAGCUGUCUGCAACAUCACAGUGAGGACCAAGGUGGGUCCGCAGCAGCCGUACCACGAGCACCGUGGUGGUCUGAAUGAGAAUGGCUCCCAUGGGCUGUUUGGACGCUUGGUUUCCAGAGAGUAGAACUGUUUAGGAAGGCUUAGGAGGUGUGGCCUUGUUGGAGGAGAUGUGUCACUGGGCAUCGGGGGCAGGGUUUGAGGUUUCAAAAGCGCAUGACAUUCCUGAUUAGCCUUCUGCCUCGUGCUUGUGGACCAGAUGUGAGCUCUCGGCUACUGCUCCAAAGCCAUGUCUGCCUGCCCACUGCCAUGUUCCCCACCGAGACGGUCAUGGACUCUAUCCCAAUAAACUCCUCCAUAAGCUACUUUGGUAACUUAGCAACAGAAAAGGAACUAAGACAAACACCUUCCCCAGAGUGAGUCCGGCCAGGCUGACUGCAGGAGUCCUGUUCAUGGACUAGGACAUGGGAAGAUCCUUUCUGCUCUAAGUGGGAAUUGCCCUAGGCAAUGCUGGGGCCAGGAUCAGCGCACCCCAGAUACUUCAGUGAAAAGCAAGAUAAGGUAGCCAGUACUCAUCGUUUGAACUGAGGUUCCAGAGAAGGCAUAAGACCUGCAUAAAACAAAAGCUGGUUAAAACCAUCACUACAUGGGCUCUCUGUUGCUAACUGAUUCACAGGGGAAUCUUUGUUAAAGAUUCCACAAAGCUGAUAUGUUUGAGUGGGCCUUCCAUGAUCGUGGAGGGUUGGAAUGUUUCAGAUCUCAAGCUGAUUUCUCUUGGAUUAUUUAUUUGGUCCCCCUCACUAGCCAGUCAUUGAAUUGCCUCAACAGACCACAUCGGGUUCCAUUAAUCCACAGCUAAGUGUUAUCAGCCUCUGAGAUCUACAGCAGAGACUCACGGUGCUGUAACCUGCCUACCUGAUAAUUGCACCAAUGUAAAAAUGCCUUGACUUCGUGAAAUUGUUACACUGAACACAGCACGAGGGUAACCAGAUCUGUGUACCCUUGCCAUGGUCACUCAUAUUUGGAUCCAGAAUAAGCUUACUCCCUUUGAAGUAAGAAUGGUUUUACACCAACCAUCAGCCUCUGACCUCCACCAAGGACAGAGUUGGCCUGUAACUCCCUGCAGCUCCUCUGUGCCUCAGGUUCUGCUUUCACAGCGGUGGUUUCAGUGUCCCCUCAACAGGGAGGCAACCAUUAAUCCAACGGUUCGCCUCCCUUCUUUCCUCCCUCCGUCAUUCCCACAGGUACGCAAGCAUAACGAGGUGUCAGGCCCUCCUGACGGCUCUGCAGAUACAAAGUGGAACAAAUCCCACGCGGCCUCCAUCCUCGCGGACGCUCCAAGGCAUGAGUGACCACAGGAAGCACGGAACGAGCUUCUGCAGGGCUCGCGCUUCCACCCGGCGUUCCAGUCCGCCACACCGCCCGGAGGCCGCGUGAUGCGGGAACACGGGAGGAGGAGUGCGCCUGCGUGAAGGCGCUGCGCCUGCGCAGAUGGUGUGCAGAAGGCCGCGAGUGUUUAGGGUCGCGAGGUGGAAGUUUGCUGCAGUCGCCACGGUGUUCUGGAGAGUGCUGCGCCGCCACGGUGUUCUGGAGAGUGCUGCGCCGGAAGUUGCCGAACUGGAAGCAACCCAGAUGCCCAGCACCGUGAGACUUGAUAACUUGAUAACUUGAUAAAUGCAUGAUGGAGAAAGCACAUAACCCUAACCCUAAUGUGACAUGCUACAUGCUACAUGCUACAUGCUACAUGGAGAGCUCUGAAGGUGAAGUGCUUGCUUUAUAACCGUGAUGGCCUUAAAGCAGUGUUCCUCUGGGCUCUGCGUCAGCUCUUGCCAUGAGUUUCUGCCAUGUGUGAGUUCUUGCCCCCCUGACCUCCUUCAGUGCUGGACUGUGAUCUGAAGCUGUAAGCCAGAAUAAACUGUCUCCCUCCAA